rnacentral:tRNA from 1 species
GAAAUAAUUAAAAUGAACUUCUAAUUCAUUAUCUUAUGAUACCUAUCAUAUUAUUUUU